rnacentral:rRNA from 1 species
CCUACGGGAGGCAGCAGUGAGGAAUAUUGGUCAAUGGACGCAAGUCUGAAGCAGCCAUGUAGCGUGAAGGAUGACUGCCCUAUGGGUUGUAAGCUUCUUUUAUAUGGGAAUAAAAUGUUCCACGUGUGGGAUUUUGUAUGUACCAUAUGAAUAAGGAUCGGCUAACUCCGUUCCAGCAGCCGCGGUAAUACGGAGGGUCCGAGCGUUAUCCGGAUUUAGUGGGUUUAAAGGGAGCGUAGGUGGAGUGUUAAGUCAGUUGUGAAAGUUUGCGGCUCAACCGUAAAAUUGCAGUUGAAACUGGCAGUCUUGAGUACAGUAGAGGUGGGCGGAAUUCGUGGUGUAGCGGUGAAAUGCUUAGAUAUCACGAAGAACUCCGAUUGCGAAGGCAGCUCACUGGACUGCAACUGACACUGAGGUGCGAAAGUGUGGGUAUCAAACAGGAUUAGAUACCCCAGUAGUC